GAAGUGAUGGUUCAGUGCUUAAGGCUUUGGACUGUCGCUCGGAAGGUUGUGAGUUCAAAUCUCAACAAGUCUCA